AAGCCAGGAGUCGGAGCCAAGGCUAUGGGCAAAGCCAAGAAGCAGUCACAGGAUUAGCACAUCAGAACAAGCCCCAGAACGGCUGCUGAACCCAUGGUCCUCCCUAAGGCCCUGUGUCCUUUGGAGGCAUUCUGUGUCCACGGACUGGCAUUCCCCAAAGAAUGCAAUCUAGGAGGUGAGAAUGGGACAACUGAGAAUAACCUCUGCCUUUGCAAGAACUUUUGCCUUGAAGAACACACCAAGAGUCUUAUGGAGAGUGUCUUAAAUCCCUUCUGCACAUUCUUUAAAACAGGUUUACAGAUCAGAGAGAGAACCAAAUUGGUAAUGAGUGAAAACAGAACAACGUGGCCCAGAUGAUGGCUGCUAUACUCCAGCUACUUGUUUCUGAUGGAAGAGGCUGUCAAAACUCUGGGGAGCAUGCUCAUCAUGUGUGCUAAGAACUAAGUGUACCUAGCACAUAGUACAAGGUCAGUAAGUAUUUGAUGACUCCUUGGUUAAGAAGGGAAUGUAUAAUUUAA
rnacentral:lncRNA from 1 species